AAGCUCGUAGUUGAAUUUCGGGGUUAGUAGGUUGGUCAUGCCUCUGGUAUGUACUGGUCUCACUGAUUCCUCCUUCCUUAUGAACCGUAAUGCCAUUAAUUUGGUGUUGCGGGGAAUUUGGACUGUUACUUUGAAAAAAUUAGAGUGUUUAAAGCAGGCUAACGCUUGAAUACAUUAGCAUGGAAUAAUGAAAUAGGACGUUCGAUCUUAUUUUGUUGGUUUCUAGGAUUGACGUAAUGAUUAAUAGGGAUAGUUGGGGGCAUUAGUAUUCAAUUGUCAGAGGUGAAAUUCUUGGAUUUAUUGAAGACUAACUACUGCGAAAGCAUUUGCCAAGGAUGUUUUCAUUAAUCAAGAACGAAAGUUAGGGGAUCGAAGACGAUCAGAUACCGUCGUAGUCUUAACCAUAAACUAUGCCGACUAGGGAUCGGAUGAUGCUUAUUUUUUAAUGACUCAUUCGGCGCCUUACGGGAAACCAAAGUGUUUGGGUUCCGGGGGGAGUAUGGUCGCAAGGCUGAAACUUAAAGGAAUUGACGGAAGGGCACCACCAGGGGUGGAGCCUGCGGCUUAAUUUGACUCAACACGGGGAAA
rnacentral:rRNA from 1 species